rnacentral:rRNA from 1 species
GACAGAGGGUGCAAACGUUGUUCGGAAUUACUGGGCGUAAAGCGCGUGUAGGCGGCCAGCACAAGUCGGGUGUGAAAGCCCUGGGCUCAACCUAGGAAGUGCACUCGAAACUGUGCGGCUUGAAGUCUGGAGAGGAACGCGGAAUUCUCGGUGUAGAGGUGAAAAUUCGUAGAUAUCGAGAGGAACACCGGUGGCGAAGGCGGCGUUCUGGACAGCACUUGACGCUGAGAACUCGAAAGCGUGGGGGAGCAAAACAGG